AUUGAACGCUGGCGGCAGGCCUAACACAUGCAAGUCGAGCGAGCGGCGGACGGGUGAGUAAUGUAGGGGGACUGCCCGAUAGAGGGGGAUAACUACGGGAAACGGUAGCUAAUACCGCAUACUAUCGGAUAACCCAUAUGGGAGUGGCUAGUAGGUGAGGGAAUGGCUCACCUAGGCGACGAUCCCUAGCUGGUCUGAGAGGAUGAUCAGCCACCCUGGGACUGAGACCCGGCCCAGACUCCUACGGAGGCAGCAGUGGGGAAUAUUGCACAAUGGGCGCAAGCCUGAUGCAGCCAUGCCGCGUGUAUGAAGAAGGCCCUAGGGUUGUAAAGUACUUUCAGUCGGGAGGCGUUACCGACAGAAGAAGCACCGGCUAACUCCGUGCCAGCCGCCGCGGUAAUUC
rnacentral:rRNA from 1 species